rnacentral:tRNA from 1 species
UCUAAUAUGGCAGAUUAGUGCAAUGAGCUUAAAAUUCAAACAUGAAUUUAAUUCUUUUAGAA